CCUACGGGGGGCAGCAGUGGGGAAUAUUGGGCAAUGGGCGCAAGCCUGACCCAGCCACGCCGCGUGAAGGAAGAAGGCUUUCGGGUUGUAAACCUCUUUUAAGAGGGAAGAGCAGAAGACGAUACCUCUUGAAUACGCCGCGGCUAACUACGUGCCAGCAGCCGCGGUAAUACGGAGGUGGCAAGCGUUGUCCGGAUUUCCGGGGUGUAAAGGGCGUGCAGACGGGAAGACAAGUCAGAUGUGAAAUCCAGCGGCUCAACGGCGGAACUGCAGUUGAAACUGUUUUUCUUGAGUACCGGAGAGGUCAGCGGAAUUCCGGGUGUAGCGGUGAAAUGCGUAGAUAUAAGGAGGAACACCAGUGGCGAAGGCGACGAUCUGGCCUGCAACUGACGUUGAGGCCCGAAAGCGUGGGGAGCAAAUAGGAUUAGAUACCCGAGUAGUC
rnacentral:rRNA from 1 species